AUUUAAGUAGUUUAUAAAAAUAUUGAUUUGUGGUGUCAAAGAUAUGGUCUCAUCUUAAAUC
rnacentral:tRNA from 1 species